AUUGAACGCUGGCGGCAGGCCUAACACAUGCAAGUCGAACGAGUGGCGGACGGGUGAGUAAUAUAUGGGAAACUGCCUGAUGGAGGGGGAUAUCUACUGGAAACGGUAGCUAAUACCGCAUACUAUCGGAUGCGCCCAGAUGGGAUUAGCUAGUAGGUGGGGUAACGGCCCACCUAGGCGGCGAUCCCUAGCUGGUCUGAGAGGAUGACCAGCAAAGCUGGAACUGAGACACGGUCCAGACUCCUACGGGAGGCAGGAGUGGGGAAUAGUGCACAAUGGGCGCAAGCCUGAUGAAGCCAUGCCGCGUGUAUGACGAAGGCCUUCGGGUUGUAAAGUACUUUCAGCGGGGAAGCGUUACCCGAAGAAGAAGCACCGGCUAACUCCGUGCCAGCCGCCGCGGUAAUUC
rnacentral:rRNA from 1 species